rnacentral:rRNA from 1 species
GUAGGGAAUAUUGGGCAAUGGAUGCAAGUCUGACCCAGCCAUCCCGCGUGCCGGAAGAAGGCCCUCAGGGUUGUAAACGGCUUUUGACGGUGAAGAACCGACAGGAUGCGUCCUGUUUUGACGGUAGCCGUUGAAUAAGCACCGGCUAACUCCGUGCCAGCAGCCGCGGUAAUACGGAGGGUGCGAGCGUUGUCCGGAUUUAUUGGGUUUAAAGGGUGCGUAGGCUGGAAGGUCAGUCAGCGGUGAAAAGCUAUCGCUUAACGAUAGUCUUGCCGCAGAUACUUCCUUUCUUGGAUGAGGAGGAGGCCACUGGAACGGAUGGUGUAGUGGUGAAAUGCAUAGAUAUCAUCCAGAACACCGAUUGCUAAGGCAGGUGGCUGUACCUUAAUCGACGCUGAUGCACGAAAGCAUGGGGAGCAAACAGGAUUAGAAACCCCUGUAGUCC